CUGAAGGGUAUUGGGACAUAAUACCUGCUUAAAUUCAGACAUAUUCAGUGAAGUUGAUUAGCCAGCGCUCACUUUACUGAUGGACAAUGAACCACGACAUACUGGGAAAGCAACCCAGGAGUUUUUAAGGCAAAGAAAUGGAAUUUCCGUGAUGGCGGACACAAUCACCAGAACUAAACCUGAUCGUGCAUGCAUUUCACUUGCUAAAGACAAAACGCAAGGCAGAAAGACCCAUGUACAAACAACUUAAGACAGCUGCAGUAAAGGCCUGGCAAAGCAUCAUAAAGGAGGAAACCCAGAGUUUGGUAAAGUCCACGCUUUCUCGACUUCAAGCGGUCAUUGCCUGCAAAGGAUUCUUGACAAAGCA